rnacentral:lncRNA from 1 species
UUGGGUUAGCUUUAAUCUUUAUUAUUACAAGUACUUAAGUCAAAUAAGAAAAACAUAACGAAGCUGUCCUGGUUUGGACAACAAAAUCCUCAUUCUCACAGCAACAAUUAACCAUUUAAACAUAAUUAAUGUGUCCUAAUUCGGACAACCAAUGUUACAUAUUUUACAGCAGUAUUUUAACACGUCAUAAACUGAUUUUAAACACCCAUGUAAUCUUCUUAGAGAUUAUUUGACCCGAAUCCCGUUACUUGUUAAAGAAAUAAAUACGGUCUAUAUCGUAUAAGUUAAAUCUAUAUAGAACUAUACUUCUUCUAUUUAACUUUGAUUAGAACAAAGUUAUUCGAUUAUUAAAUAUUAGAUGUGUUCUUAUUUUCUUUUUUUAUUGCUUUGUAAUUGUUUUAUCGCUAUUAUCGGUAUUUAUUAUAACAAAUACAAACCGAAAAGCAUGCAAGUAAAUGUUUAGACCUCAAUCUAUAAUGUACCAUGGCAACAGCCGAAUAUCCAAAUGUAAGCUUAAGUCAACCAAAUAUCCCUAAGUAUAAUUUCAGCCGAAAACAACAAUAAUAAAACAUCAUAAAAUAUAAAAAUUUAAAGUUUGGAGUUGAAGAACUCACAGAAAAUUUUCUCCCAAAGCCGAACCCCUUCUUUUUUGCUACUGUCCUCUUCACCUCCUUUAGCGAAAUGCUUCCAAAUCGAGGAUUUCUUCCCCCAUGCAGCCGCUGUUUACAACCUUUCCUCCCUAUUCCAAUGGCUAAACUAAACAAGAAGAAGAUGAAGCUCUCACCCCUCUUUCCUUUUUUUUUUUUUUUUCUUUCUCACCGUCCCAUCCCUUUUUCCCAAGAAAAACCAUUUUUAAUUAAAAUUAGAUGAUAACAGUGGGAACAAUCAUUGACCAGUUUCCCAUGUUUGCAACUGGCCACCCAACCAAAAGCCAUGCACACCCUAAAUCCAUUAGUUAACAUACAAAAUAUUACGCAUAAUGAUUAACAUUAGGUUCCGCAUUCGGUCAAAUCAAGUCGAAUCGAGUUGAAAAAAUUUUAGGUAAUUAAGUUGAUGAAUCAUAUUUUAACAAUAGAACUUAAUUUAAAAAUUUUUCGAAUCAAAUCGAGUCGAGUUAACGAACUUUAUUAUUUAUACUCAAUGUUGCGUUUAUAUGGAUCGAUUAUUUAACUAGUAGACGAAGUAUAAGAUUAUUUAACUAUAUAAAUAAUAUAAUUGUUUUGCCUUUUAACUUAAUCAGUAAACAUUUAUCAAAACGACGUAGUUUUGCCUUUUAACUUAAUAGUUUUGACUUUUAAAUUUAGAAAAGCCAAACAUUUAUCAAAAUGACGUUGUUUUGUUUUUUCUUAUUUAGAUUUUAGGAUAACUCGAAUUGUGUAAUUUAUAUUCGAGUUAAACUGAAAAUUUUAAUUUUUUAUUCAAGUUGAUUUAAAUUAGUCGAACUAUUUAACUCAAAAUUUAACUUUUUUAUCAAAUUUUUCGAAUCAAAUAAGAUUUUGCUCACUCAUAAUUAACACCACCAUCAUCUAACUAUCUAAUUUCAUUUGAAAGAAACAUUUGUAAAGCUUAACAUGUAGAUAACCCGCGCUACUAGUACAACUACCAAACCAAAGUUCCUCCUCAAAGGUCAUGAAUUAAAAUGAAAUGAAAUACAAUUAUUUUUCAGUAAAAUUACUUAUUAAAAAUUCAAUUCACCUAUAUAAUAACUUUCAAUAAAUAUUUAAUAAUAAUAAUUACAAGUUCGGUUUUUUAAAACAAAGUGUCGAUACCUCACUUUCCGAUAUUAUUGACUUUAAGGUCAAUAUACUUGUACAUUAAUUAAUUACCAAUUCAAUAAAAACCUCUAAUCUAAAUUUCUAUCUAAUUAAAAAUAAACUCGUAAAUAUUAAAUAAUAAUAUUUACGAACUCACUCAUCAAAAAUAAGGUUUUGAAACCACAAUUUUCUGGCACUACUGAAAAUCGGGCUGUUACAAAAAUUUUCAUAUUUCAUAAUCAUAUAUUUAGUUACUACAUCAAUAUGUCAGAUUCCACUACUCAAACUCGUAGAAUUCAAAAAUUUACAAAUUUUACAAUUUGAUCCUUACUUCAAUUUUUAUCAAAUUAAUCACUUAACAAUUUAUUUUUCAACUUACUCAUCCAAUUAAUAUUCAAAAUAAAUAUUUACCACUUUCAGCAUAAUAAACUCAUAAACCCAUCAUUCAAGAUAAUUAAUUCAAAAUUAAAAUAUUCUUAGUAAAAACACUCGCACUUUCUCGCUUUCAGUUAUUCACUUAAAAUCAUUCGCCAAAUUUUUCUUAAAAUAAUUCAUUAUUCACAUCAUACAUAAACACAAUAUUUCCAUAAGUUUAAGUAUAGAGAAUAAUUAUUUACGCCAAAUUCUUGCAAUUUCACAACAAAUUAUACAAUUAAAUAAAUAUAACAUAAUAAUUUAAACAAUUUACCCUCGUUUUCUCGCACUUCCAUCUUCAUCUUCAAGCCUCCAUGAUUGGUUUCAUAUGAGAAGACACUCUCGAAUUAGACUUUGGUGUGAAAUCCCACUUUAAUUUCAUAAAAAUUUUAAAGAUUUUAGGUUAAAGAUGAAAAAAAAAGGCCAAAUUGAAUAAAAUGAAAAACUUCUUUUUUAUUUUGAAGAAAACCAUGACAAAACCUCCCAAAAUUUAGCCAAAGGACCUAUUUAUAAUGAUGGGAGAAUCCUUUUUUUGUAGAUAUUUCCUUUCUUUUAUUUCCUUUAUUUGUUUAUUUUGC